AUUGAACGCUGGCGGCAUGCUUUACACAUGCAAGUCGAACGGCAGCGCGGGCUUCGGCCUGGCGGCGAGUGGCGAACGGGUGAGUAAUACAUCGGAACGUGCCCAGUAGUGGGGGAUAGCUCGGCGAAAGCCGGAUUAAUACCGCAUACGACCUGAGGGUGAAAGCGGGGGAUCUUCGGACCUCGCGCUAUUGGAGCGGCCGAUGGCAGAUUAGCUAGUUGGUGGGGUAAAGGCCUACCAAGGCGACGAUCUGUAGCUGGUCUGAGAGGACGACCAGCCACACUGGGACUGAGACACGGCCCAGACUCCUACGGGAGGCAGCAGUGGGGAAUUUUGGACAAAGGGCGAAAGCCUGAUCCAGCAAUGCCGCGUGUGUGAUGAAGGCCUUCGGGUUGUAAAGCACUCUUGGCGGGAACGAAAAGGACUGUGCCAAUACCACGGUUCGAUGACGGUACCCGCAGAAUAAGCACCGGCUAACUACGUG
rnacentral:rRNA from 1 species